AUAUAUCAAAGUUUAUCCGACUAGACACACUUAAGCUAUUAACAAAUUUUCAGCUUGCUAUUAAUCAACUUUUUUUUCAUACGCGGGAUCCAGACCUAUAAGCGAAUAUUGAGAUAGACGGAAACAUUAUUGUUAUUAUUUUUUGUUAUACUUGUAUUUUUUCAUAUUUUCGUGAGGUUUGGCAUUGCUCUUCUGCUAUAUGAAUACGUAGUAGAAUUUUUGUUCACACUUCACAUACUAUAAUGCUUUGGAAAUAAACACCAAAUAAUAAAUACUAAGAUUUAUUACAUCAUUAAAUUAAAAAUUACUUUAUCAAACUAUCAUCUAAAAGCAAAGGUCUCUGUUAUAUAAUAUCUAAUAAUAAUUAAUUAAAUAUUUCUUCAAUACUGCUAUUUGUGUAAGUUUGAUGUAGGAUAUUUUAUACAGGAGCGAAACUGUUUGCGAAAUUUUUGAAAAAUUUGAAAAGUUUAAAAAAUGUUGAAAAAUUACCAGAAAUUUACCUGAACAGUAAGAGUACAAAUUUAUUAUUUUAGGAAAAUAUAAAAACAUAACUAUCUAAAUAUGCUUGUAGAUGAAUAUCUGUUACAUGCCAAAAUAGAUGAAGAAUUUAUGAACUAGAAUGCUAAAAAGUUAUUCCGCUUCAAAUAGUGUAACUUUUAUCUUGUAUUUAACUAAUCACUCACUUCUAGUAAAUAAUAUUUGAUAUUUUAACCUGGACUCCAAAGUGUACUAAUCCUCUACACCAGAUUUAGUGUUUUUUUAUUAGUCUUCAUAUAUGCAUAUUUAUAUGAAUAUGUAUAUUUUUAUUUGUAAGUAGUCUUGUGAGCUCUUUUGUAUGUUGUAAAUAAUAAAAUGUAACGAAUGGUAUGUACGUAUCUGUGACCUUUCUUCUUUUCUCUAAGAGAUGUCGCUACAGCGUCAUAAAAGUGGAUUUUAAUAUUAUUUUUAAAAUUCUACUUGUAUACGCAGUUUAUUUUCGUCUUGGUUCAGAGAUGUUCACGUAGCCUUACUGAAGACGUCUAGAGACAGAAACAGCUGUCUAGGGAUGGUGAAUAUCCUCUGAAUCAAAAGGAAACAUAAACUGUCGUUCAUUUCUAUCUUUAAAAUGUAACGAAUUUGUAUUUAAAUACUGUCAAGUCUGUAGCCUCUCGACAUAAUCUAUUUUUUUUUUUUUUUCAUAAUCAUCAGUACGAUGAUGAUUAUUACAAUUACAAUCCGGUUAUAAAUGACCAAUGAGCAAUUAUAAUGUAACCUAAAUUACUACUGUUCCUUAAAAUUAAGAGCUUACCCUAUAGCGUCCCUUAUCUAAACUAUCAAUGUAAUGCACUAUUCUAUAAUGCACACGCGCACAAGCACUAUGCUUUGCUUUUCACUAGCACUCAAACUAGUUCAAUAAGUUUAGUCCUCUUCAAUCUUCUAGGUUGCUCAGUAGUUUCGAGGAGCUGGAUUCCUAGGUCCUUAUGAGAGUCACUAUUUGCCACGUACUAAGGAGCAUCUACAAUGUUUCUCAGUAUUUUCUUCUGGAAUCUGUAUUGUAAUAUAGCUUGGUCUAGGACACCCCACAGUGGACAUCCAAAAGUCCAUAUAGGUCUCAAUAUUUGUUUGUAAAGGAGUAAAUUAUUAUAGAUCGACAGUGGAGUUUCUCCCAACUAGCCAAUACCUACAUUUUUUUAUAUCUUAUAUUUAGUUCUUCCCUUUUUCUUGAGGUGAGCCUUUCAGUGAGGUGUUAACAUUUAAUGUUAACCCUAAAUACUUAGCAGUAUCUGCAUAUGGUACGUGGAUAUUGUUGAUUAUAACUGUAUGUAGUGUAUGUUUUUGUUGUUGAAAUUAACAUGAACAAAUUUAGCUUCAUUAAACCUGAUUCUCCAUUUUUGUAUCCAUUUAUGGAAUUGGUUAACUGUUAUUUGGACCUUGUUGGUUGCCUCUUGAAUAGUCACCCUCACUGCUUGAAUAGCCGUAUCACAGUAUAUAGAGGUUCCUGGAACCUCUAUAUACUGUGGCCGUAUCAUCAGUAAAGGUGGUAACUGUGUUGUCCUCCAGUACAAGUACAUUACACAUGUAUAGUAGGUAUAAUACCGGACCCAACACACUGCCUUGUGGAACACCCGCCUUUUUAAAAUUUUAAGAGCUUUAAUAGAAACAAUUAAAUAAAUUGUGCACAAAUUUCUUCAUCUAGUUUAGCGAGAAAACUAUUUAAUGAGAUUAACAACAACCUUAUAAAAAACAAUCUUUAAGUGGCCGUAAAAUGUAAAUUCAAGAAUCUUGAAAACUAUAGCAAAUAAAAAAAUCUUCGUACUUAAAAACUUGAUUUACUCAUUCUCUUGUAUCAUCAUAAGAAAUUAACGAUUAAUUAGAACGUCGUAACAUGUCUCGUAAAUCACUUCCUCUUCUUUUUUAUGAUCAAGAUUAAUGUUUUCUUGUCUUGCACAAGAAGGAAAUAUACCAAUAUAAAUUGUUGGCCAUAAAACGUUUAUUUUAUUCUUAUGUCCCCAUAGCAAAUGCAAUCUUCUGUUUAAUAUUUCUUUUCUGUCUUUAUAUCAUAAACCUGUAAAAUAUUUGUAUAUUUAUUUUUGUAAUAGUUUACUUUAAAUUUAUUUCUAAAGGUGCUAGUAAUAGAGUUGAACUUACGCAGUUUAGAUGAGUAAAAAAA
rnacentral:lncRNA from 1 species